UACGUAGGUGGCAAGCGUUAUCCGGAUUUACUGGGUGUAAAGGGCGUGUAGGCGGGAGAGCAAGUCAGACGUGAAAUUCCAGGGCUCAACCCUGGAACUGCGUUUGAAACUGUUCUUCUUGAGUGAUGGAGAGGCAGGCGGAAUUCCGUGUGUAGCGGUGAAAUGCUUAGAUAUCGAGAGGAACACUCGUGGCGAAGGCGGGUUCCUGGACAUUAACUGACGCUGAGGCACGAAGGCCAGGGGAGCGAAAGGG
rnacentral:rRNA from 1 species